rnacentral:rRNA from 1 species
UACGGAGGGUGCAAGCGUUAUCCGGAUUCACUGGGUUUAAAGGGUGCGUAGGUGGGCAGGUAAGUCAGUGGUGAAAUCUCCGGGCUUAACCCGGAAACUGCCGUUGAUACUAUUUGUCUUGAAUAUUGUGGAGGUAAGCGGAAUAUGUCAUGUAGCGGUGAAAUGCUUAGAUAUGACAUAGAACACCAAUUGCGAAGGCAGCUUACUACACAAUCAUUGACACUGAGGUACGAAAGCGUGGGGAUCAAACAGG